UACGGAGGAUCCAAGCGUUAUCCGGAUUUAUUGGGUUUAAAGGGUGCGUAGGUGGCCUGGUAAGUCAGGGGUGAAAGACGGUAGCUUAACUAUCGCAGUGCCUUUGAUACUGAUGGGCUUGAAUACACUAGAGGUAGGCGGAAUGUGACAAGUAGCGGUGAAAUGCAUAGAUAUGUCACAGAACACCAAUUGCGAAGGCAGCUUACUAUGGUGCAAUUGACGCUGAGGCACGAAAGCGUGGGGAUCAAACAGG
rnacentral:rRNA from 1 species